ACCAAAAAUCACUACCGUAGCUUGGAAUUUUAUUUUGGAGGCGAAAACACUUUGCCAAAUUUCACUUUGGCACCAAAAUAUUUUGUUUUAAUAAAAAAUAAUAACUGUUUAUGGCCCAAGUCAUUUCCUUCCUUGGAAGAAAAAAGAAAACUUCUUGAUUAUCUUUUUCUUCUUCUUCGUUGUUUACUUCAAUCUAAUCUCUUCAUCCUCCAUAUUCUUCAGUUUGUGUUUUUUCUUCUUCUUAUUCAUUCCAAUCCAAGGGAACCCUGAUCUGUCUUUCCCAAAGUCCUCCAUUUUGCACUCUGUAAAUCAAUCAUCGUCGUCUCCACCAAACCCUAAACCUCGAUCUCUCCUUGAACGACGAUUAUGUCUCAUAAUCAUCUCCGCAAGACCUCGCAACCCCCUCAAUUUCACUCCUUCCUGCGUCGCCUCUGAUUCGAUAAAGGAGAGACGGAUGCAGCAGAGACAGCCAUACAUUGCUGAACAUCUAGAGGAAAUCUUGGAAGGAAACAGAUAUGUUAAAGGUGGAAACCGUUACUGGAAGAACAUUGUAGAUUUGCCUCUGAACUAGUGUUCAGACUAACGAAGAGGUCGCAAUUAAGCUCGAAAGUGUGAAGACUGCGCAACACCAGGAUAUAUAGUGUUGUUCAGAAAGAGUUUGGUUUGUGCUGAUUGAGAAGCACUGAUAGAUGAAGUCACAGAGAAGAUUGAGAAAGAUCUGGUUCUUCUUGGAGCUACAACUGUUGAGGAUAAACUCUAAAAUGGGGAGACAAGGUGGAGACUGCUGUCAAUAUUGGCUUCUCUUGAAAGAGUCAGAUGCGAAGCAUCAGAAUGUUGGACAAGAAUAGAUGUUAUGUGAAGUGUCCACUCUGUGAGAGGUUUCUGUGUGUGGGACUGUGGUGUUCCUUGGCAUGAUUCUGUGAGCUCUGAAGAGUUUCAGAUUCUUCCGGUUGAUGAAAGAUAUCCAGAUCAUUGCAUCACUUGGCUAGGUAUAAGAGAUGGAUACAGUGUUUGGCUUUGUGGUUUCUUAUAUCAAUGUUGAUAUCUCUCUUUGUGUUCUUUGCCAUGAGCUUUGCUACUGUUGUGGAGCAGAGUACAGAGAAGGACAACAUAGUUGCACUUGUGACACAUUCAACUCAAUGCCAAGGGUAAUGGACGCUUACUCAGAGCAAGAAAGAUCUCAGCUAGCUCUGAUCCAACGGUUCUUAGUGGGUGAUUGGAUUUUGAAACAUGAAACCUUUUUUGUUGCAGGAAGAGUUGUUGAUGGCAGAGAGAUGACUGUUCAGUUUCAUGAAACCUUUCUAUGUAUAUGAGUAUUUCUGUCUUAGAUUUGCAAACACACUUAUGUUCCAGUCUUUGGUUUUUUUCAGUUUUAUCUGAGAUGACUCUUGAGAUUGAAGUUGUUUGAACUGUGUAUAGGCAGGGGCAAGAGAUGUAUAUUUUUCAGUUUCAUCUGAGAUGAUAAUUGGAUUUUUGUUAGUUUAUAUAAACCAUAUAUGCCCGUUAUUAAUAUAACAAUGCAAAACUGAUUUUAUAUAAUUAAUUAGAUAUAAAAUCAUCAUUUAUUGUAAAAUAAUUGUAUUUUUAAUUUAUAUGAUUGAGUGUAAAAUUAAAAGAUAAAAAUUGAUUAAUUAGAGUUUUGUUUUAAAAUAUUUAUAUAUAUAUACUAGUUUAGGGGUUCAUAUGUUUAGUGUGAUACUAUUAUAUCAAGUUUGGCGUAGUCAAACUUAAACCCCUAAACUUUGCUCUAAACCCUAAACCCCAAAACUUAACCUUAAACUAUAGACAUAUAUCAUAACCCAAAUUAGUCAUAUACACUAAACUCUAACUAAAAAUCUUAAAAUUUUAAAUGUAUACCAUACCACAGAUCAUGUAAAUCAUACUUAUAUCAUAAACUCACAUCUUUAAUCUCUUAUUUUAAAUAUAAAAAUAAAUAUAAGUAGUUGUUAAAAAAAUAAAUUAUAUAACCAGUUGUUACAAAAGUUAAAUUUUAAAAUCUUAACCUCAUACUUAUAUAGCUAAACUCUGAAUCCAUACUACAAAUUUCAAACCAUAUAUAAUAAACAUAACCUUUAAACUUUAAAUUUUAAUAUUUUAGUUCACAUUUAAUCAUAUACUUCAUUCUAAAUCUUAACCCUAAACCAUAAACCAAAUACCUCAUAUUAACAUAUAUCAUAAUACAUUAAAUCUUAAUUUUUAAAUAAAUUAUAUUCAUACAAGAAAAACAUACUACUCCAAACUAACAACAUUUCACAUUAUACAUUUACAAAAUAAAAUUAAACCACCAAAUAAUAAACCAAAAAAUACAAUCUAAUAUUUUCAGUCAAACCCUAAACCAUAUAUAUAUAUAUAUAUCAUACCCCAACCAAAUACCUCAACAUAUAAUAUUAAUUAAUAAAUUUUUAAAACUAAACUAUAAAAUAUUGAUUAUAAAAUCUUUGUUUUAUUCAAACAUCAAUUUUAAAAAGUUAUAAACCAAAAGUCAUCAAAAUGUUGAAAAUAGAACAACAAAAGAUAAAAACAAAGAGGAAAAAUUCUAUUGGAUAACUAAUAAAUAAAAAGGAAAAUUACAGGCCAAUCCGCUCUCAUCACGCAGAUCACUCUCUGAGCCGUAGGAUACAAAUAGAUCAAUGGAUGAGAUUUUCUUAUUUUCUUUUUCCCUUUUCUUUUUUUUCUCUAUCUCUCUCUCUCGCGCUCUUAUCUUCACAGAUCUUUUUUUUAGAUCUCUCCACCUUCGACAAAUCUCUUUUAUUUUACAGAUCUCUUUUUCUUAAUCAUCUCAUACACACACAACACUGUCUUACUCUCCUAACCUCACUCACACACGAUUCAUCUCACAGACAUCUCUCUGUUUCACUCUCCUAAUCUCUCUGUCUCACGCACGACACAUCCCCAACCAUCUUCUUCAGAAAGCGACGGUGGAGGCGCCAAAGCAAUGGUGGAAGCUGCAGCAGACUCGUCUCUGGUCAAGCACUGCGUUGGCUUCACCUCCUCACCACCACCACAGGAGCAAGGGAAGGAGAAGCAGUGGUGUGACAUAGCGGCGUUUCCGGAUCAAGCGUGGUGCGGCGGUGAGGUGGUGGUCGUGCGGUGGAGAUGCGAGCAUCAUGGUCGGCGGAGACUGAAGAAGAACGUAGUUUGGUGGCCGUAUUAGGUUUAGUUAGGGUUAAUUAGUUAACCAAUUUGUAAUUCUAAACCAAUUUGUAAUUGUACCAAUUUGUAAUUGUACCAUUUUGUAAUUGUACCAUUUUGUAAUUGUAAACCAUGUAAACCAAAAUUCAAUUUAUGAAAAUACCAAUUUAUUGUUACAAAAAAAACAAUUUAUUAUUUUUCAUUAACUAAACCGAUUUAAUUAU